AGUGAACGCUGGCGGUAGGCCUAACACAUGCAAGUCGAACGGCAGCACAGUAAGAGCUUGCUCUUACGGGUGGCGAGUGGCGGACGGGUGAGGAAUACAUCGGAAUCUACUUUUUCGUGGGGGAUAACGUAGGGAAACUUACGCUAAUACCGCAUACGACCUACGGGUGAAAGCAGGGGAUCUUCGGACCUUGCGCGAUUGAAUGAGCCGAUGUCGGAUUAGCUAGUUGGCGGGGUAAAGGCCCACCAAGGCGACGAUCCGUAGCUGGUCUGAGAGGAUGAUCAGCCACACUGGAACUGAGACACGGUCCAGACUCCUACGGGAGGCAGCAGUGGGGGAUAUUGGACAGUGGGCGCAAGCCUGAUCCAGCCAUACCGCGUGGGUGAAGAAGGCCUUCGGGUUGUAAAGCCCUUUUGUUGGGAAAGAAAAGCAGCAGGUUAAUACCCCGCUGUUCUGACGGUACCCAAAGAAGAAGCACCAGCUAACUUCGUG
rnacentral:rRNA from 1 species